GACGAACGCUGGCGGCGUGCCUAAUACAUGCAAGUCGAACGGUUUAGUUCCAAGAGGCUUGCCUUUUGGAACUAGACAGUGGCGGACGGGUGAGUAACACGUAGGCAACCUACCUGUCAAACCGGGAUAACCUCGGGAAACCGAAGCUAAACCCGGAUAAGCUCCUUUUUCGCAUGAAGGGGGAGUGAAAAGGUGCGACCUGAUGACAGAUGGGCCUGCGGCGCAUUAGCUAGUAGGUAGGGUAACGGCCUACCUAGGCGAUGAUGCGUAGCCGACCUGAGAGGGCGUACGGCCACACUGGGACUGAGAUACGGCCCAGACUCCUACGGGAGGCAGCAGUAGGGAAUCUUCGGCAAUGGGCGAAAGCCUGACCGAGCAACGCCGCGUGAAUGAGGAAGGCCUUCGGGUUGUAAAACUCUGUUGUUUGGGAAGAAGGGAAAGGGUAGGACCCUUUGGUGACGGUACCAAACGAGAAAGCCCCGGCUAACUACGUG
rnacentral:rRNA from 1 species